UUAAUAUCUUGUUUCGUCAUCGUUCAAGCGGUAAGGCUCUGCGUUGAAAUAAAUAUGGUGAAGAUCUUUAUUGGAAACCUCCCUAACGAGGUCGAAAAGGAUGAGAUCGAGGCGCUGUUUACUCAACAUGGCACAGUGACAGAAUGUGCAAAGUUCAAAAACUAUGCCUUCGUCCACAUGGAUGACCGUAAGUCUGCCACCAAAGCCAUCCGCAGCCUGCACCUCUUAAAGCUUCAUGGCAGGCCAAUCAAUGUGGAGCCAAGCAGGGGAAAGAACCAGGGUCCGGUGAAACUUCACGUGGCCAAUGUGGAGAAAGGCAACGAUGAUGAGCUCCGCACCUUGUUCGAGGAGUAUGGCACAGUCACAGAAUGUGCUAUUGUCAAAAACUUUGCUUUCGUCCACAUGUCCAACUCGGAUGAGGCCAAGGAUGCCAUAAAGGGAUUAGACAACUCUGACUUCCAAGGCAAACGUAUUCACGUUCAGAUGUCAAAAAGCCGUCCCAGAGGGGAGGAAGAGGAUUAUGGCCCCCCACCAGAUAGGUGUGCAUACUGGCCAGCACCUCGUGGCUACCCCGGGGACAGGGGGCAGCCUGAGCCCCCUCAUUACAGAGGUCGCAUGUCAGGGGGGUACCCUGGCCUCCCUCCACCACCACCUCCCCCUAGACGAGCUCCGUACCCCCCCGAGCGUGCCUAUGAGCGCGAGAGGGAAAGCUACGCGGUGGUGGAUUACUAUGAGAAGUACAGAGCUCGCCCUGCCCCUUAUGGUGGCCUCUCAGGCUAUGGAGAUGAGAGGCGCUUUGGCUCCAUACCCCCACCACCACCCCCUUCUGUCAUGGUUAGGGAGCGCCUUGCGGCCUCCUCACUCGACCCGUACGAGCGUCGCACCCUCCCACCUCUGUCCUACUACUCCCGUGACCGCAGUCCCAUCAGAAGACCCUCUCCUCCCCCCAUGCCACCCGCUGGUAACGGCUACUCAUAUGAGCGCUCCCGGCUCUCUCCUCUGUCCAGGCCCGCAAUGUACAACCUACCACGUACCAGGGACCCCUACGCUGACAGGGUCCCUCCACCGCCUCCUGCCCGCUACUCUUACUGAACACACACUGGUGUUUGACUCAAGGUUGUUAGAACCAUGAUCUGUGGAUAGGUGUUGUGGACACACUGUACUGUAGGAGACUGCUGUUCUGAGGUAAGUAAGCCUGGGUGUCUUAAACUGUCCAAUGAGGAUAUGUGGAGGUAAUGUUAAAUUAAUUGAUGUUCAUUUAUACAGAAGUAUGAUUUAUCAAAUAAAACAGUGGAUUAUGUGUUUUAAGAACAUUCUGCCAAUCCCCCACUCCCCCAUUUGAUGACAUACUUUGCCCAUGCUUAGUAUCUUUUUUGUAUCCUUUUCUGUCCAACUGAUCCCCAUCUUGUUUCUCCCAUCUUGUGUGCUUUCCUUGCACAGGAGGUUGGUACAGAAGUGGAAUUCUGCUCAAAGGCCACUGUCUUCUUUCCAGAGUUUGGUACAGAAGUGGACUUCUGCUCAUCUUGAUGCCCUGACACUGCUCUUCAGGGUUUUGUAUGCUGUGCCUGGGUGCUUCCAGGUCUGUCCUAUGCAGGCGUUGCAGUUGCUCAUCAUGGUUGUGCUAUGCACACACCCUCAAUGUGAGCACAAGAGAGGGGAUACCCAGUGAGGCCCUUCCCUGUGGGGUGGUUCCGAGACAUCUAGAGAGAUUACAAGGUUUCUCCAUUGUCCGGGGCCCAGAGGUCAUCAUACAAACAUGUCGGCAGGACUGUCCGACCUCUGCCUGUUGACAUCACAGCCUCCUUGGACACUGUGCUGCUGUGUCCCUCUGUCUCUGUGUACAGCCCUGUAUCUUGGGAACGAGAUGCACUGCCUCUAACCCAGCUGUACCUUCUCCAGAAGUACAGCUCCCACUCCCUGGAUCUCUCACAUGGGGGAAAGAGCUAUCUCAUCCACCAGGCCUCUCUGUCUGACUCUGGAGGCUACUGCUGUUUCCAGGAGGGGUGGCUGAGUGGGGGUUACCUCCUGCAGGUAGAUGAGCACGAGAGCUGUCAGGUCCAGGCCCAAACCCCGCUGGACCGUACCGGCCUCGGAGCUAGUGGCCAUGUCUCUCUUCUCCUUCUCUGCCUUCAUAGUUGUUCUGUGGCUGUUGACAUUUGCCAGGCAAGAGAGGAAGAGGGGUUGGAUAGUCGCCUAGGGAUAGGGGACCUCACCAAUAUGUCUUCACUGACUAUAAGUCCUUUCUUUUGAAGUUACUAUGGCCUAUUUAGAUUCAGGUUAGUAUACAAUGAAUAAAUAUGAUUGUGAGAAAAGAUA